rnacentral:rRNA from 1 species
UACGGGGGGGGGCAAGCGUUGUUCGGAAUUACUGGGCGUAAAGGGCUCGUAGGCGGCCAACUAAGUCAUACGUGAAAUCCCUCGGCUUAACCGGGGAACUGCGUCUGAUACUGGAUGGCUUGAGUUCGGGAGAGGGAUGCGGAAUUCCAGGUGUAGCGGUGAAAUGCGUAGAUAUCUGGAGGAACACCUAUGGCGAAGGCAGGUUACUGGGCCGUCACUGACGCUGAGCUGCGAAAGCUAGGGGAGCAAACAGG